GACAGAGGGUGCAAACGUUGUUCGGAUUUACUGGGCGUAAAGCGCACGUAGUCGGCUUUGCAAGUCGGGUGUGAAAUCCCCGGGCUCAACCUGGGAACUGCAUCCGAGACUGCAUUGCUAGAGUAUGGGAGAGGGAAGCGGAAUUUCUGGUGUAGCAGUGAAAUGCGUAGAUAUCAGAAGGAACAUCAGUGGCGAAGGCGGCUUCCUGGACCAAUACUGACGAUCAGGUGCGAAAGCGUGGGGAGCAAACAGG
rnacentral:rRNA from 1 species